GAUGAACGCUGGCGGCGUGCCUAAUACAUGCAAGUCGAGCGAACAGACGAGGAGCUUGCUCCUCUGACGUUAGCGGCGGACGGGUGAGUAACACGUGGAUAACCUACCUAUAAGACUGGGAUAACUUCGGGAAACCGGGGCUAAUACCGGAUAACAUGUUGAACCGCAUGGUUCAACAGUGAAAGACGGUCUUGCUGUCACUUAUAGAUGGAUCCGCGCCGCAUUAGCUAGUUGGUAAGGUAACGGCUUACCAAGGCAACGAUGCGUAGCCGACCUGAGAGGGUGAUCGGCCACACUGGAACUGAGACACGGUCCAGACUCCUACGGGAGGCAGCAGUAGGGAAUCUUCCGCAAUGGGCGAAAGCCUGACGGAGCAACGCCGCGUGAGUGAUGAAGGUCUUCGGAUCGUAAAACUCUGUUAUUAGGGAAGAACAAAUGUGUAAGUAACUAUGCACGUCUUGACGGUACCUAAUCAGAAAGCCACGGCUAACUACGUG
rnacentral:rRNA from 1 species